GAUGAACGCUGGCGGCGUGCCUAAUACAUGCAAGUCGAGCGAACGGACGAGAAGCUUGCUUCUCUGAUGUUAGCGGCGGACGGGUGAGUAACACGUGGAUAACCUACCUAUAAGACUGGGAUAACUUCGGGAAACCGGAGCUAAUACCGGAUAAUAUUUUGAAACGCAUGGUUCAAAAGUGAAAGACGGUCUUGCUGUCACUUAUAGAUGGAACCGCGCUGCAUUAGUUAGUUGGUAAGGUAACGGCUUACCAAGGCAACGAUGCAUAGCCGACCUGAGAGGGUGAUCGGCCACACUGGAACUGAGACACGGUCCAGACUCCUACGGGAGGCAGCAGUAGGGAAUCUUCCGCAAUGGGCGAAAGCCUGACGGAGCAACGCCGCGUGAGUGAUGAAGGUCUUCGGAUCGUAAAACUCUUUUAUUAGGGAAGAACAUAUGUGUAAGUAACUGUGCACAUCUUGACGGUACCUAAUCAGAAAGCCACGGCUAACUACGUG
rnacentral:rRNA from 1 species